AAAUAUUGAGCUAAACGCUCGCGGUAUUCGGCCAGAGAAACAACGCGUUCAGCGAAUAUCUGGAUAUUCAUAAGAUCGACCAGACUAAUGUCCAUACCCAUAGACGACUUGGAUGCGUCAAUGAUCGCCUGUGCCUUUGCACUGUCCAUAACAGUUUCUUCAAGAGCUUCCAACUUUUCUUCUAUUUUGGCACACAAGAAUCCAAAAAGACCUGCAGCUGCUCUGGUACAAUCCCUUCUGAGAUGCUGUUAAUAUUCUCUAGUGCAGCUACUGCAGUCUUGAAGGCUGAGAAACUAACAAGGCUCACAAUGGAACGAAAACGUGCCAAGUCCGUCACGGAUUCUUCCACCUGGGGCAAUAACAUUCCAAUCUCCUCGAACUGUUUGACGAAAAACACAGCAUAACCAGAGGCAUGCUCAAACAGAAUAUAUAGUUUCCUCUGGAAAAAUCCAAAAUGCGUACGUUAGAUAUCUAUGUAUGUACACCUGAUAUAUUUAAAUCCAAGAUGCUACAAGUGGUAACAUCGAUAUGUUAUGUACAUGGAGUUGUCGUAUACUAACCUGCAGAAACAAGUACAUUAAAAAAAAAUGUAAUUA